UACGAAGGGGGCGAGCGUUGUUCGGAUUUACUGGGCGUAAAGGGCGCGCAGGCGGCUCCAAAAGUCAGGCGUGAAAGCCCCGGGCUUAACCUGGGAGGUGCGUCUGGGACUGUGGGGGCUAGAGUUCGGGAGAGGAGCGUGGAAUUCCCAGUGUAGAGGUGAAAUUCGUAGAUAUUGGGGAAGAACACCGGUGGCGAAGGCGGCGCUCUGGACCGAGACUGACGCUGAGGCGCGAAAGCUAGGGGAGCAAACAGG
rnacentral:rRNA from 1 species